rnacentral:rRNA from 1 species
AUUGAACGUUGGCGGCAGGCUUAACACAUGCAAGUCGAGCGGGGGAAGGUAGCUUGCUACCGGACCUAGCGGCGGACGGGUGAGUAAUGCUUAGGAAUCUGCCUAUUAGUGGGGGACAACAUCUCGAAAGGGAUGCUAAUACCGCAUACGUCCUACGGGAGAAAGCAGGGGAUCUUCGGACCUUGCGCUAAUAGAUGAGCCUAAGUCGGAUUAGCUAGUUGGUGGGGUAAAGGCCUACCAAGGCGACGAUCUGUAGCGGGUCUGAGAGGAUGAUCCGCCACAAUGGGACUGAGACACGGCCCAGACUCCUACGGGAGGCAGCAGUGGGGAAUAUUGGACAAUGGGGGGAACCCUGAUCCAGCCAUGCCGCGUGUGUGAAGAAGGCCUUAUGGUUGUAAAGCACUUUAAGCGAGGAGGAGGCUACUCUAGUUAAUACCUAGGGAUAGUGGACGUUACUCGCAGAAUAAGCACCGGCUAACUCUGUGCCAGCAGCCGCCGCAG